rnacentral:rRNA from 1 species
AACGAACGCUGGCGGCAUGCCUAACACAUGCAAGUCGAACGAGACCUUCGGGUCUAGUGGCGCACGGGUGCGUACCGCGUGGGAACCUGCCCUUAGGUUCGGAAUAACUCCCCGAAAGGGGUGCUAAUACCGGAUAAUGUCUUCGGACCAAAGAUUUAUCGCCUUUGGAUGGGCCCGCGUUGGAUUAGCUAGUUGGUAGGGUAAAAGCCUACCAAGGCGACGAUCCAUAGCUGGUCUGAGAGGAUGAUAAGCCACACUGGGACUGAGACACGGCCCAGACUCCUACGGGAGGCAGCAGUGGGGAAUAUUGGACAAUGGGCGAAAGCCUGAUCCAGCAAUGCCGCGUGAGUGAUGAAGGCCUUAGGGUUGUAAAGCUCUUUUACCCGGGAUGAUAAUGACAGUACCGGGAGAAUAAGCUCCGGCUAACUCCGUG